rnacentral:rRNA from 1 species
UGGCGGACGGGUGAGUAACGUAUGGGAAUUUACCGAAUGGAGGGGGACAACAGUUGGAAACCGCUGCUAAUACCGCAUAUCGUCGAGAGACCAAAGGGUUCCGACUUGCCAUUUGAUGAGCCCAUAUGAGAUUGGCUAGUUGGUGUGGUAAUGGCUCACCAAGGCGACUAUCUCUAGCUGGUUUGAGAGGAUGACCAGCCACACUGGGACUGAGACACGGC